rnacentral:rRNA from 1 species
AUUGAACGCUGGCGGCAGGCCUAACACAUGCAAGCCGAGCGGGGUUUUCGGACCUAGCGGCGGACGGGUGAGUAAUGCGUAGGAAGCUACCCGAUAGAGGGGGAUACCAGUUGGAAACGACUGUUAAUACCGCAUAAUGUCUACGGACCAAAGUGUGGGACCUUCGGGCCACAUGCUAUCGGAUGCGCCUACGUGGGAUUAGCUAGUUGGGGGGGUAAUGGCUCACCAAGGCGACGAUCCCUAGCUGGUUUGAGAGGAUGAUCAGCCACACUGGAACUGAGACACGGUCCAGACUCCUACGGGAGGCAGCAGUGGGGAAUAUUGGACAAUGGGCGCAAGCCUGAUCCAGCCAUGCCGCGUGUGUGAAGAAGGCCUUCGGGUUGUAAAGCACUUUCAGUAGGGAGGAAGGAUGUUGUGUUAAUAGCACAGCAUUUUGACGUUACCUACAGAAGAAGCACCGGCUAACUCUGUGCCAGCCGCCGCCGUAAAAC